rnacentral:lncRNA from 1 species
GACCGGUGGUACAACAUGGAGUUCCGCCGAGGGUGGACAAAGGAGAGCCCAGCUGCUGAGCGGCCUGACUCCAGUUCCAGAGUUUGAAUGUAUUUCUUUACAUGAAGAGGACCUAGGGAUGAAAAAGUGAAUUCAGUUUUGUUUUAUAAUUUCUCACCUCUCAGCACAUCAGAAGUAAAUAUUGGCCCUGCACACUUGGAUCCUUCUAAGCAGUGGAUGCUUCUGUCAGGCUGAG